rnacentral:rRNA from 1 species
AACGAACGCUGGCGGCGCGCUUAAUACAUGCAAGUCGAACGAGAAGGUGUAGCAAUACACUUGUAAAGUGGCGAACGGGUGAGGAAUACAUGGGUAACCUACCCUCGAGUGGGGAACAACCAGCCGAAAGGUUGGCUAAUACCGCGUACGCUUCCGGGUCUUCGGAUUCGGAAGGAAAGUCAUACCGUGGGUAUGACGCUCAAGGAUGGGCUCAUGUCCUAUCAGCUUGUUGGUAGGGAACGGCCUACCAAGGCUCCGACGGGUAGCUGGUCUGAGAGGACGAUCAGCCACACUGGCACUGCGACACGGGCCAGACUCCUACGGGAGCAGCAGUAAGGAAUAUUGCGCAAUGGGCGAAAGCCUGACGCAGCGACGCCGC